CCGGGAUAGCUCAGUCGGAGAGCAGAGGA
rnacentral:tRNA from 1 species